GAUGAACGCUGGCGGCGUGCCUAAUACGUGCAAGUCGAGCGAACAGACGAGGAGCUUGCUCCUCUGACGUUAGCGGCGGACGGGUGAGUAACACGUGGAUAACCUACCUAUAAGACUGGGAUAACUUCGGGAAACCGGAGCUAAUACCGGAUAAUAUAUUGAACCGCAUGGUUCAAUAGUGAAAGACGGUUUUGCUGUCACUUAUAGAUGGAUCCGCGCCGCAUUAGCUAGUUGGUAAGGUAACGGCUUACCAAGGCAACGAUGCGUAGCCGACCUGAGAGGGUGAUCGGCCACAUUGGAACUGAGACACGGUCCAGACUCCUACGGGAGGCAGCAGUAGGGAAUCUUCCGCAAUGGGCGAAAGCCUGACGGAGCAACGCCGCGUGAGUGAUGAAGGUCUUCGGAUCGUAAAACUCUGUUAUUAGGGAAGAACAAAUGUGUAAGUAACUAUGCACGUCUUGACGGUACCUAAUCAGAAAGCCACGGCUAACUACGUG
rnacentral:rRNA from 1 species